AUCCAUCUGAUGAGUCCCACGUAGGACGAAACACGCGUCCUGAAU
rnacentral:hammerhead_ribozyme from 1 species